CUUCCCUUUUGGUGUAGUUUCGUUU
rnacentral:piRNA from 1 species